GUUAGCGGCGGACGGGUGAGUAACACGUGGGUAACCUGCCUGUAAGACUGGGAUAACUCCGGGAAACCGGGGCUAAUACCGGAUGCUUGUUUGAACCGCAUGGUUCAAACAUAAAAGGUGGCUUCGGCUACCACUUACAGAUGGACCCGCGGCGCAUUAGCUAGUUGGUGAGGUAACGGCUCACCAAGGCAACGAUGCGUAGCCGACCUGAGAGGGUGAUCGGCCACACUGGGACUGAGACACGGCCCAGACUCCUACGGGAGGCAGCAGUAGGGAAUCUUCCGCAAUGGACGAAAGUCUGACGGAGCAACGCCGCGUGAGUGAUGAAGGUUUUCGGAUCGUAAAGCUCUGUUGUUAGGGAAGAACAAGUACCGUUCGAAUAGGGCGGUACCUUGACGGUACCUAACCAGAAAGCCACGGCUAACUACGUGCCAGCAGCCGCGGUAAUACGUAGGUGGCAAGCGUUGUCCGGAAUUAUUGGGCGUAAAGGGCUCGCAGGCGGUUUCUUAAGUCUGAUGUGAAAGCCCCCGGCUCAACCGGGGAGGGUCAUUGGAAACUGGGGAACUUGAGUGCAGAAGAGGAGAGUGGAAUUCCACGUGUAGCGGUGAAAUGCGUAGAGAUGUGGAGGAACACCAGUGGCGAAGGCGACUCUCUGGUCUGUAACUGACGCUGAGGAGCGAAAGCGUGGGGAGCGAACAGGAUUAGAUACCCUGGUAGUCCACGCCGUAAACGAUGAGUGCUAAGUGUUAGGGGGUUUCCGCCCCUUAGUGCUGCAGCUAACGCAUUAAGCACUCCGCCUGGGGAGUACGGUCGCAAGACUGAAACUCAAAGGAAUUGACGGGGGCCCGCACAAGCGGUGGAGCAUGUGGUUUAAUUCGAAGCAACGCGAAGAACCUUACCAGGUCUUGACAUCCUCUGACAAUCCUAGAGAUAGGACGUCCCCUUCGGGGGCAGAGUGACAGGUGGUGCAUGGUUGUCGUCAGCUCGUGUCGUGAGAUGUUGGGUUAAGUCCCGCAACGAGCGCAACCCUUGAUCUUAGUUGCCAGCAUUCAGUUGGGCACUCUAAGGUGACUGCCGGUGACAAACCGGAGGAAGGUGGGGAUGACGUCAAAUCAUCAUGCCCCUUAUGACCUGGGCUACACACGUGCUACAAUGGACAGAACAAAGGGCAGCGAAACCGCGAGGUUAAGCCAAUCCCACAAAUCUGUUCUCAGUUCGGAUCGCAGUCUGCAACUCGACUGCGUGAAGCUGGAAUCGCUAGUAAUCG
rnacentral:rRNA from 1 species